AGAGAGGCAGCUGCCUCACCAAACAGGAGUGACCUCUCCCCAUGACAGGGAGACAAAGGAUUCUGGCAUCACAGGCACUUGUUGAAUUUCAGCUGGCUUCAUCCCGGCACAGGAGUCCCAAAUCCCAGAGCUGUGAGAACAGAGCUGGCACUGAACUGCCCCUGAAACUCCUUGCUGGUAUCAGCGGCACCCCAGGACCCUGCAACGCAGCCCCCCGGGGCAGCACAGCGAGAAGGGGCACACCCAGAUCUCUGAGUCUCUGGAGGAGGUGUCUGGGAGAAGGAAACUUGAGGAGGUUCCCCACGAGGAUCUUGCAGCAGAUCCCUCUGUACCAGGGGAAGGAUGGAACCAGAUUAAAGCGGGACAUCCCGCAGCAGCGCCUGCCUGGAGGAGCCAUCCUCGUGUCGAGACUUUCAUGGGAAACCACAGAGGACCCUUGCAGCUCCCUCCCAGCAGAGCCUUUUCCCCAAGCAGAGCCCCAGAGCUGCGGGGUCAC
rnacentral:lncRNA from 1 species